CUUGACCUAAUGUGAUUAGGUUUGAAUCAUCAAAUUAUUAGGUGGCUUAUCUAAUUUUUAUGGAAGUGUUCCAUAAGAAGUCAACUACCUCCAUGCCCAACCACACGUCAAAAUAAAUUGGCACCCCAUUUAUUUUAGCAUUAAAUAGGAAGAGUCCUUCUAGUUUACUUCUCUUAAUUUUUUUUAUUUUUCCAUGCAUUCUUUUAUUUCUUGCACCAUC
rnacentral:lncRNA from 1 species